rnacentral:rRNA from 1 species
GAUGAACGCUGGCGGCGUGCCUAAUACAUGCAAGUCGAGCGAACGGACGAGAAGCUUGCUUCUCUGAUGUUAGCGGCGGACGGGUGAGUAACACGUGGAUAACCUACCUAUAAGACUGGGAUAACUUCGGGAAACCGGAGCUAAUACCGGAUAAUAUUUUGAACCGCAUGGUUCAAAAGUGAAAGACGGUCUUGCUGUCACUUAUAGAUGGAUCCGCGCUGCAUUAGCUAGUUGGUAAGGUAACGGCUUACCAAGGCAACGAUGCAUAGCCGACCUGAGAGGGUGAUCGGCCACACUGGAACUGAGACACGGUCCAGACUCCUACGGGAGGCAGCAGUAGGGAAUCUUCCGCAAUGGGCGAAAGCCUGACGGAGCAACGCCGCGUGAGUGAUGAAGGUCUUCGGAUCGUAAAACUCUGUUAUUAGGGAAGAACAUAUGUGUAAGUAACUGUGCACAUCUUGACGGUACCUAAUCAGAAAGCCACGGCUAACUACGUGCCAGCAGCCGCGGUAAUACGUAGGUGGCAAGCGUUAUCCGGAAUUAUUGGGCGUAAAGCGCGCGUAGGCGGUUUUUUAAGUCUGAUGUGAAAGCCCACGGCUCAACCGUGGAGGGUCAUUGGAAACUGGAAAACUUGAGUGCAGAAGAGGAAAGUGGAAUUCCAUGUGUAGCGGUGAAAUGCGCAGAGAUAUGGAGGAACACCAGUGGCGAAGGCGACUUUCUGGUCUGUAACUGACGCUGAUGUGCGAAAGCGUGGGGAUCAAACAGGAUUAGAUACCCUGGUAGUCCACGCCGUAAACGAUGAGUGCUAAGUGUUAGGGGGUUUCCGCCCCUUAGUGCUGCAGCUAACGCAUUAAGCACUCCGCCUGGGGAGUACGACCGCAAGGUUGAAACCCAAAGGAAUUGACGGGGACCCGCACAAGCGGUGGAGCAUGUGGUUUAAUUCGAAGCAACGCGAAGAACCUUACCAAAUCUUGACAUCCUUUGACAACUCUAGAGAUAGAGCUUUCCCCUUCGGGGGACAAAGUGACAGGUGGUGCAUGGUUGUCGUCAGCUCGUGUCGUGAGAUGUUGGGUUAAGUCCCGCAACGAGCGCAACCCUUAAGCUUAGUUGCCAUCAUUAAGUUGGGCACUCUAAGUUGACUGCCGGUGACAAACCGGAGGAAGGUGGGGAUGACGUCAAAUCAUCAUGCCCCUUAUGAUUUGGGCUACACACGUGCUACAAUGGACAAUACAAAGGGCAGCGAAACCGUGAGGUCAAGCAAAUCCCAUAAAGUUGUUCUCAGUUCGGAUUGUAGUCUGCAACUCGACUACAUGAAGCUGGAAUCGCUAGUAAUCGUAGAUCAGCAUGCUACGGUGAAUACGUUCCCGGGUCU